AAAAAUGAGGUAACACAAGUUGUGCCCACAGGAUAAAGAAUCCUUCUAGGGUUUUGGUAUAAGUUUAUGCUUUAAACAGUGUCGUUGCCUCUUCGACUCGAGAACGACGACCACAAGAACACUACACGAGACGACAUCACCGGUUUCGUACACCGCCAUAAAGGAAGUAUUUCAAGAUGUCUCGUGUGUAUGUUGGGAAUUUGGAUCCGCGUGUCUCUGAGCGAGAACUUGAAGAUGAGUUUCGAGUGUUUGGAGUGAUCCGAAGUGUUUGGGUUGCAAGAAGGCCUCCAGGUUAUGCUUUUAUUGACUUUGAUGACCGCAGGGAUGCACAAGAUGCAAUUCGCGAAUUGGAUGGUAAAAAUGGCUGGAGAGUUGAGCUUUCUCACAACUCUAGGGGUGGAGGUGGCGGCGGCGGCGGUCGUGGCGGGGGUGGAGGGGGUCGGGGUCGCUCCGGUGGUUCUGACUUGAAGUGCUAUGAGUGUGGUGAACCAGGCCAUUUUGCUCGUGAAUGCCGCAUGCGUGGCGGUUCUGGUAGACGUCGUAGCCGCAGUCCUCCUAGAUACCGCAGGAGUCCAAGUUAUGGUCGGAGGAGUUACAGUCCUCGUGGGCGAUCCCCAAAACAUCGCAGUUUGUCACCGCGUGGGCGCAGCAUUAGCAGGUCGCCACCAUAUCGUGGACGCGAGGAGUUGCCAUAUGCCAACGGAAAUGGUCUCAGGGAACGCCGCCGAAGCAGGAGCUGAAUUGCAGGUUCUGUGACUGCCAUUUAUUGAGGUCUUUCAGAUGACUAUUAGUGGCUACUAUGCUUGGACUUUGUUUAAGUUGGGUGAUUCCCUCAGCUUCGACUCAUGGAUUUGGUUAAGUUUCUUUCUUGCUGCAGCUUCAGGUGUCUUCGUCUCUUCGUGGUUCUGCUUCAUUGCUUUUGUGCUCCUACACCCCUGUGGUUUCGUUCUUCACUGCCCUUCAUUGGGAUCUUCAAUUUUUUUGAAUGAUUGUGGGUCCCAGCUCGCUGCAUUACUAGAUGCCUGUGUGCGAUUGAAUCUGCAGCUGUGAUGCGCCUCAACCGCAAAGAACUCUGCUACAGGUUUAUGCAUUUGAUUUUGUGUUGAGGUGUCUUUGACUAUUCAUGGUUCUGCUUCAUUCGUUUUCUGCACCUUCACCCGUGGUUUUGUCCUUCGCUGCCCUGCUCUGGGAUCGUCAAUUUUGAAUCAUUGGGGUUCCGAGCUGGCGACGUCAUUAGAUGCCCCUGUGUGCGGUUCAAUCUGCAGCAGUAUUGUGCCUUUCCCUCAAAUUGUAGUGGCACUUGUUUUAGAUACUUAAGGAUUGAGAAGCUGCUUCAAACACUUCUGGCAGGUACUUGAUCUAUUUUAUUUUAGUUAGCCCUUUAGGAAAUUGAGUUUAUUGAAACUGUCUCCUGGCUAGGGUUUUCAAAAGAACGAAAGUUUAACCGACUUGGGCGUUUUGGUGUAACUAGGUGAAAAUUUUGUAUUAUACUCACAAGAUGAAACUCUUGCUUUCUCAGAAGAAUGGCCAGUCUCCUCCCCUUACAAUGCAGGAGAAAAUGAAUCAUUU